AAAUUGAAGAGUUUGAUCAUGGCUCAGAUUGAACGCUGGCGGCAGGCCUAACACAUGCAAGUCGAACGGUAACAGGAAGCAGCUUGCUGCUUCGCUGACGAGUGGCGGACGGGUGAGUAAUGUCUGGGAAACUGCCUGAUGGAGGGGGAUAACUACUGGAAACGGUAGCUAAUACCGCAUAACGUCGCAAGACCAAAGAGGGGGACCUUCGGGCCUCUUGCCAUCGGAUGUGCCCAGAUGGGAUUAGCUUGUUGGUGGGGUAACGGCUCACCAAGGCGACGAUCCCUAGCUGGUCUGAGAGGAUGACCAG
rnacentral:rRNA from 1 species